AGUCUAGAUUUCCUAUGGGCCUCGGGUCUUCUGGAGUUAAACCCUACUGAUUUCAAAAGCAGACAUCAUAGGGACCCAUAUUCCUGAUGCAGAUCCCCAAGAAGGGGGUGUUCCUGAUGUGGAGUUGAUCCCCUUUCUCCACAGAGAAGACCUCUACACCUGUGAUAUCCCUCCUGCUGUGGGUCACUAUUGGAUACUUCUCAAACUACUGUUUUUCCACUGGGUCUAAAUGGUAAGCAAGCCUACAUGUGAGCCUUCCAAGUGGGGAAUCACAGUUUCCGAUAGCACUUGGGGACCCCGGACAUCAACCUUGUCGAUUUUCCAAGCCAGAUGUACUGGGCGCUUGUUUCUCUGGUACAGAUCCCAGGGCCUGGAGUGCCUGAUGUGUAGCACCAAUCCCUUGCUCUUCUGUAACAAAUGCCUAGCUGGUGAGAACCCUCCCUAUUGGGUGCUGCCAUACUGUGUGUGUGUGGGGGGGGGGGGUCGUGAGACUGUGUCUCUGCCUUUUUUACCUAUCUUUACCCUUUGUUGUGGACAGCAGUUCAUCUCAUUUUUAGAUCUUUUUUGGGAGGCAAUAAUCCAUAUGUUCCUGUAGAGUUGGUAUGUUUGAGGGAGGAGGUGAGUUCAGGAUCUUCUUAUGCUGCCAUAUUGGACCUAAUCUCCUGGAUCCAUAAAUUUUUUUGUCUGCCCUUCCAUAUCUCUUUUCCUUUACUCUAAACUUAUUCUGUGUGGAGGGAUGCUGACCUGUCUGGACUACAUCAAUGAGCCCACUUGCUUUCUGGCUUCUGGUUGGCUUUGGUUAACUGGAGGGCAGAAGAGUUGAGUCAGAGUAUUUUAACCCCAACCCCCCCCCCCCCCCCCGCCCAGCUUUCUCCUUGCUAUGGCUAAAGGCUGGCUGUGCCUGUCUCCUAUUGGGGUCCUCUCUGAAAGUUACAGUUCUGUAUGGAUUCCUGUAACAAUUUCCUCUCCUUGGGGACCAAGGAGUAACAGAAAUCUCCUCCUGUGACUAGCCCGGGGGUACUCUGAUUAUCUCCUUAUUGACUUUUCUAAACACUGACUAAACAUUUGUACAUAGUCCUUUUAUUAAACUGCCCUUCAUUACCUAGUUUGCAUAUAUCUGUUUCCUACUAUAAUAAAUAUAUCAACUGAAAAUGUGUGGUUUUAAUAAACUUGAACAUUAGGGAGUCCACCAGACAUUACAUAUGUUGAUAUUUAAGAUUUUCCAAGUUUUGUACAUGAUUAUUAACAGUAAUAUAUCUCACCUGUUCAUAGACUUUGAACCUUCCAAAGGAUAGUAGAAAAGAGCAAUUAUAGUGAGAACAGUUUCCAUGGUGUUUGUAAGAGUUCUGGUACAGCAAUACCACGUGAACCAAGAGCAUAACUGGCAAAAAAACUAAGAACAAUUAUAAGCAAACAUAUAUUGAAUGGGAAGUGGAAAAGCUCGGUAUUACCUUCUUCUAUGGAAAACAGCAAGUCAACAUACUGCAAAAAUCACAUCAAAAGGCUCCAAAACUCCCUCAGGAUUUGGAUUACCUUUGGAAUUCUGGGCCACUUCCCUAACAGAAAAUGGGGAAGUCCCAAACUUCUGAGUCUAACCUGAUGACAGCUUAAAGGAAAAUGAGUUUAGAGAAUCUUUGGCACCAUUAGUUCUUCUUUUGUACCCUCUCUUGGCAAAUGACCCCAGAAAUUCAUGAUCUGGAAAGAAACUACAAAGGAUAUUUGAAAACCAUGUGAUGUGCAACUUCAAGAGACUGCCAAUAUUCAUCUGG